GACGAACGCUGGCGGCGUGCUUAACACAUGCAAGUCGAACGGUAAGGCCUUUCGGGGUACCCGAGUGGCGAACGGGUGCGUAACACGUGGGUGAUCUGCCCUGCACUUCGGGAUAAGCCCGGGAAACUGGGUCUAAUACCGGAUAGGACUGCGCGGUGCAUGCCGUGUGGUGGGAAGAUUUGUCGGUGCAGGAUGGGCCCGCGGCCUAUCAGCUUGUUGGUGGGGUAAUGGCCUACCAAGGCGACGACGGGUAGCCGGCCUGAGAGGGCGACCGGCCACACUGGGACUGAGACACGGCCCAGACUCCUACGGGAGGCAGCAGUGGGGAAUAUUGCACAAUGGGCGCAAGCCUGAUGCAGCAACGCCGCGUGGGGGAUGACGGCCUUCGGGUUGUAAACCUCUUUCAGCAGGGACGAAGCGUGAGUGACGGUACCUGCAGAAGAAGCACCGGCUAACUACGUG
rnacentral:rRNA from 1 species